UACGUAGGGUGCAAGCGUUGUCCGGAAUUAUUGGGCGUAAAGAGCUCGUAGGCGGUCUGUCGCGUCUGCUGUGAAAACCUAGGGCUUAACUCUGGGCGUGCAGUGGGGUACGGGGCAGGCUAGAGUGCGGUAGGGGGAGACUGGAAUUCCUGGUGUAGCGGUGAAAAUGCGCAGAUAUCAGGAGGAACACCGGUGGCGAAGGCGGGUCUCUGGGCCGUAACUGACGCUGAGGAGCGAAAGCAUGGGGAGCGAACAGG
rnacentral:rRNA from 1 species